UGUUCCUACGGGACGCAGCAGUGAGGAAUAUUGGUCAAUGGGCGGAAACCUGAACCAGCCAAGUCGCGUGAGGGAAGAAGGCCCUGCGGGUCGCAGACCUCUUUGGACGGGGAGCAAGGCCGCCGACGUGUCGGCGGAAGGAGAGUACCCGUAGAACAAGCAUCGGCUAACUCCGUGCCAGCAGCCGCGGUAAUACGGAGGAUGCGAGCGUUAUCCGGAUUUAUUGGGCUUAAAGGGUGCGCAGGCGGCACGGCAAGCCGGCGGUCAAAUCGCUGGGCUUAACCCCGCCCAGCCGUCGGAACUGG
rnacentral:rRNA from 1 species